CCCAGACUCCUACGGGAGGCAGCAGUGGGGAAUAUUGCACAAUGGGGGAAACCCUGAUGCAGCGACGCCGCGUGAGUGAAGAAGUAUUUCGGUAUGUAAAGCUCUAUCAGCAGGGAAGAAAAUGACGGUACCUGACUAAGAAGCCCCGGCUAACUACGUGCCAGCAGCCGCGGUAAUACGUAGGGGGCAAGCGUUAUCCGGAUUUACUGGGUGUAAAGGGAGCGUAGACGGCAUGGCAAGUCAGAUGUGAAAGCCCGGGGCUCAACCCCGGGACUGCAUUUGAAACUGUCAGGCUGGAGUGCAGGAGAGGUAAGUGGAAUUCCUAGUGUAGCGGUGAAAUGCGUAGAUAUACGGAGGAACACCAGUGGCGAAGGCGGAUUGCUGGACAGUAACUGACGCUGAGGCGCGAAAGCGUGGGGAGCAAACAGGAUUAGAUACCCGCGUACA
rnacentral:rRNA from 1 species